GACGAACGCUGUUGGCGUGCUUAACACAUGCAAGUCGAACGGAAAGGCCCUGCUUUUGUGGGGUGCUCGAGUGGCGAACGGGUGAGUAACACGUGAGUAACCUGCCCUUGACUUUGGGAUAACUUCAGGAAACUGGGGCUAAUACCGGAUAGGAGCUCCUGCUGCAUGGUGGGGGUUGGAAAGUUUCGGCGGUUGGGGAUGGACUCGCGGCUUAUCAGCUUGUUGGUGGGGUAGUGGCUUACCAAGGCUUUGACGGGUAGCCGGCCUGAGAGGGUGACCGGCCACAUUGGGACUGAGAUACGGCCCAGACUCCUACGGGAGGCAGCAGUGGGGAAUAUUGCACAAUGGGCGGAAGCCUGAUGCAGCAACGCCGCGUGCGGGAUGACGGCCUUCGGGUUGUAAACCGCUUUCGCCUGUGACGAAGCGUGAGUGACGGUAAUGGGUAAAGAAGCACCGGCUAACUACGUGCCAGCAGCCGCGGUGAUACGUAGGGUGCGAGCGUUGUCCGGAUUUAUUGGGCGUAAAGGGCUCGUAGGUGGUUGAUCGCGUCGGAAGUGUAAUCUUGGGGCUUAACCCUGAGCGUGCUUUCGAUACGGGUUGACUUGAGGAAGGUAGGGGAGAAUGGAAUUCCUGGUGGAGCGGUGGAAUGCGCAGAUAUCAGGAGGAACACCAGUGGCGAAGGCGGUUCUCUGGGCCUUUCCUGACGCUGAGGAGCGAAAGCGUGGGGAGCGAACAGGCUUAGAUACCCUGGUAGUCCACGCUGUAAACGGUGGGUACUAGGUGUGGGGUCCAUUCCACGGGUUCCGUGCCGUAGCUAACGCUUUAAGUACCCCGCCUGGGGAGUACGGCCGCAAGGCUAAAACUCAAAGGAAUUGACGGGGCCCCGCACAAGCGGCGGAGCAUGCGGAUUAAUUCGAUGCAACGCGUAGAACCUUACCUGGGUUUGACAUGGAUCGGGAGUGCUCAGAGAUGGGUGUGCCUCUUUUGGGGUCGGUUCACAGGUGGUGCAUGGCUGUCGUCAGCUCGUGUCGUGAGAUGUUGGGUUAAGUCCCGCAACGAGCGCAACCCUUGUUCACUGUUGCCAGCACGUUAUGGUGGGGACUCAGUGGAGACCGCCGGGGUCAACUCGGAGGAAGGUGGGGAUGACGUCAAGUCAUCAUGCCCCUUAUGUCCAGGGCUUCACGCAUGCUACAAUGGCUGGUACAGAGAGUGGCGAGCCUGUGAGGGUGAGCGAAUCUCGGAAAGUCGGUCUCAGUUCGGAUUGGGGUCUGCAACUCGACCUCAUGAAGUCGGAGUCGCUAGUAAUCGCAGAUCAGCAACGCUGCGGUGAAUACGUUCCCGGGGCU
rnacentral:rRNA from 1 species